CAAAAAGUAGCUUAAACCACAAAGCACUCAACUUACAAUUGAGAAAUGUUACCAUUAACCUUUUUGA
rnacentral:tRNA from 1 species